CCCCUAGAUGUUCUGGGCCGCACGCGCGCUACACUGAACAGUUCAACAAGUCUUAACCUUGGCCGAUAGGUCUGGGUAAUCUUUGAACGCUGUUCGUGAUUGGGAUAGACCUUUGCAAUUAUGGGUCUUCAACGAGGAAUUCCUAGUAAACGCAAGUCAUCAGCUUGCAUUGAUUACGUCCCUGCCCUUUGUACACACCGCCCGUCGCACCUACCGAUUGAAUGGUCCGGUGAAAUCUCGGGACGGCGGCUUGGUCGCUUGCGUCCGACUGCUGAAACUUGAUUAAACCCUCUCAUUUAGAGGAAGGUGAANUCGUAACA
rnacentral:rRNA from 1 species